UAACCCUAAUGCUUGAUGUUGAAUAUAUCUUUCUGUAAAAUAAAAUACUAGGAGGGAAAGCAUGUUUCCACAGUAGAGAGAGAAGAUGAUAAGAAACAGAUCAAACCCUUGUGUGGAGAAUGGCACUAAAUCCGUUGAGACAGGAGAGGACAUUUGCAGAUUUACAGACAAGACGGAUGUCAUUAAAAACCUAUGGGACCUUAUUGAAGAAAGUAAAACGGGAACUUUAUAAAGGAGUUGGGAAGAUCCAUUGGGUAUUAGAGCUUCGAUUUCCCAAAACUUUCAGGCGUAGUUUUUGAGAAAUAUUGAAUAUUGACUGAAGCAGUAAGAACAAUGGUAUAUUGAAGUAUCUCCACCGGUAAAUAAGAUUGACCAUCAUAUUAUUUCUGAUUUUUCCACGAUGAUUAAUAAACACAUCAUAUCUAAAACAAGAUCUCGUCUAUGAGAUUGUUUUCUUUUAGACUAAUGAAAUUUGCAGUUCUGAAUUUGCAUAUGCAUAUAUGUCAAUACGCUCUGCUUUAGUUCAAAUUGUUAUGCAGCUUUAAAGAAGCUACAUGCCUACCUUCGAAAUAUAUAUCAUUUGAUAUUAUUUCAAAUGAAAAUGUUAAAUGCUCUGCUUCAGUUCAAAUUAAGGUUUAGAUUAUUCGUGUGUUUUUGUUCUCCGAUGUACAAUAAGACAUGUUCCUCAGUUUGUUCAGGAACGGCAGGAAAUAUUCAACACUGUACCAUGCUACUAAUUCAAUAAGCAUAAUGUUUAAGACUUCCUUGUGUUUGGGAUGGAUGAUUUAUAGUUUGGAUUUUGCUAGAACUUCUUUUUCUCAAGUCCAAAUUAGUUUUAGUUAAGCACAUUUUUAUCAUCAAAUUUUGUCUCUCAUUGAUUGAUCACAGUAGCCUCUGUAAAAUGUACUAACAUCUAGCUCCAAAAUAUGUAUAAAUGGUAACUUUCAGAUGUUUGAGAAAAACCCAAUAUUGGAAUUUGAUUAACUCCAAAAUUUUUUUGAAAGAAAGACAAGUUUUCUACAGAAAUUGUCAGAAUUCAACCUAUUAUGUGCUAUAAUGACCACAUAUAUACUUAAUUUCAGUGGUUUUGUACUUGUUUCAACCCUGCCAUAAUUACUCUUUCUUAAGAGAAGGAAAGAAAUAUUUCCAGGGGAUUACAGACCCUUGUGAUAGUUGGCAUGAGUUCUGCCAAUCCCAUUUAGAUUGCAGAUCUAAAAAUUUGGUUGACAGCAUUCUGGAAGAUUGUCAUGUUUACUUAUGUUGCUAGACAUACAUGCUCUUGGUACCAUUGGCAAGGCUUAUUAAGAUUUAUUCAGGUGCAAGGCCUGAAACUCACUUAAAAACUAGAUUUCACCUAGUGAAAAGUGAGCAGAAACAGAUUUUUAUGGGCAUUGGAUGGAACGCUGGUUACAGAAUUGAAAAAGCCAUAAAAAGAGCUAUAGCUUGUGAUUACUUAGAGAUAAGACUAUGGAUUUAAUGAAAUUUUUAUUGGAGUUAAAUAAAGUAUAUCCAAACUUUUACAUCA